rnacentral:rRNA from 1 species
CCGGGCGAACGGGUGCGUAACACGUAUGCAACCUACCUAUAACUGGGGAAUAGCCCGAAGAAAUUCGGAUUAAUACCCCAUAACACUUUCGAAUCGCAUGAUUUGGAUUUUAAAGCUCCGGCGGUUAUAGAUGGGCAUGCGGCCUAUUAGCUAGUUGGUGAGGUAAUGGCUCACCAAGGCUACGAUAGGUAGGGGGUCUGAGAGGAUGAUCCCCCACACUGGUACUGAGACACGGACCAG